rnacentral:lncRNA from 1 species
CCAUUAUUCAUUCUUGAAGAACCUAUACAACAACAACUAUUUUAAUCUACAAACAGUAUAAUUACACUAGAAUUAACUAAUUCAAAGUAAGUAAUUCAAAGGUAAAUAAUUGUCCAGUUUUCUUUGUUCUCCAACACGUUCGUUCUGUUAAUUCACUGGCAGACAAAGUACUAGCACAACCUAAUCACAAGCGUUAUGUUCCACGUUUUGACUACUUAAUCAAUACCGUUCACUGCUUUAUAUGAAGAAACGCCAAAUCCUUAGUGUCAUGAUCACCAAGUAAGUCCAAACAAGUCCGGAACAUCGUUAGUAAGACCACGCAUGUCUAGAAUAAUUACAUCUUUUCUUUCUAUAAGAUAAUUCACGGAGCUUAACACGGGAUUCAAUUGGUUCUUUGGAUUCUCUCAAUUUUGUUUUUCGGUACGAAAGUUCCUUCAAAUCGUUGCUCAUUUUCACAAUAAUUACGAAAUUUAGUUUCUAGUAGUCGGACAACGUACCAUUUGUCAUUUUCAUUACUAGCAUUCGCCAACUUCGUACCAACUACCAUAGCUUGUUGAAAGUUACAACAAUACCAUUCAUCAUACAUACGCCACAUUGUGACCAGGAUCAUAAAAUCCACACGCAUAUAUUUUCAACAAAUACUGAUAUCACGCCUUAUGCUGUACACAUCACAAGUGGUACAUCCGAGCGUGGGAUACAAGGACUGUUCGUAAAACGUAUAUAGCUUUCCAAUACAAUGUUUUCAAGUUAUGCUGUAUAUUAUUUGAAUGUUUGUCUCUACAAAUUUUCGAAUUUUGCAAAUAUAUCAAUUGAAACUAGUUUGUCGGUUUGGCAUUAUUCCCGUAUAUCAGUCACAUUGUGAUCAGGAGUUUGAAAGCCAUUAGUUUUUUAGUAAUUCAACCCUUGUAUAAUGCCAUGAUACAAGAACGGUCUGUCUGUUCCUAAACGCGUAGACACUAUGCGAUCAGUUUCUCGUUAUCUAAACAGCUCACGAUCUUUCGACGUGCUCAUCAAUUAUCUUUAACAACAAAUAUAUACCACGUAUUAUUCUCAUAAGAGAUGAAAUGGUAACAUAUAUAUAUUAACAGCAAUUAACGGUUCGUAAAGGCUGACGUAUACUUUCAACGAUGACAAUACUGCAGCUUUUGUCCAAGUAAAUCACUCACAGUCUAUCGAGAUGGCCAUAAUAUUUCUUGUGGUUUUACAGUACAAUGUUUUUAAGUCAAAUCCAUAUGUUUAUCCAAGUCUUUGAAGCUUCAUCAAACUUCUCAAUAAACUUUUGCCCAUACUGGCAAAGCAAAAAGUUGCUACAAUAUUUUUUACUAAAUUCCAAUAAGCCAGUUUGGCGUAACUAUACUGUGCAUCCAACUGAGUCGGGUUAAAAUGUCUCUUUCAAUAUUUUAAAACUAAAACAUGUUUUUCAUUUUAACCGUAUAUCAUACCGAAACGUAGCUGUAUAUUUUUUUUAUUCUGAGCAACUAUAAUUAGUUGAACAGAAAAGAAAAUGCUCUACAGCACGUUACGAUAUGGUGAAGUGAAAAACAGGCUUAAGCUUUAAUGAGAAAGCUGUGAUUGAGAGGGAUACAAAAGGAUACAACAUCGAAGUUCUGCUUGUAUUUUUCAGGUAGUUGUAUCCCUCUCAAUCCACAGUUGUCUUGUUAUCGUCGCUACCUUCACUGACACAGACCUUUCCAGAUUAAGUUUUGAUGUUUUAAUUAUGG